GAUUGACCGGCACUAGGAGAGUAUGGAGUCACCUUUGUGACUCUCCUUCCUCAGGCAUUUGGCUGCAACCUGGAAGGAAGGGAGGAGAUGUUCCUCCAGCACCAGGUCAGAGCCAUGUCAUAGCCCAAAGCUGCAAGCAAGGACUGCCCCAGGGAAAUCAAAGGAGAAAGAAGAUGAUUUGGUGAUCCCAGCCUGGCUCUCCAGCAUCAGGCCAUCAUCCACAAGGCUGCGCAGACCCACCAUGGAGUAGCUAGGAGGACAGCAAGACAAGCAGUCACUGGGCAGGUUGUGAAGGAAGGGCUUUCUCACACCACCGUUGCCAAAAUUGUCAAGGCAGAUCCGCUCUGCAUCUCCUGAUUUCAGAAGGAGCUGCUUGCCAGAAACCAC